CCGCACCAACCCUAGCUCCCGAUCCACAGCCACGCACUCCUCCCUCCUCCCUCUCACAGCCGCCACACCCCAUUCCUCUCUUCCUCCUCCCUCCUCCUUCCCGGAUCAGUGCCACCGCCACACGCACUCGUCUCCUCCUCUCUCUUCUAGCUAACUCCUCCUUCCUGAGCUCUGUGUCGGCCGCAGCGCGAGAGGAGCAGCGGCGGCAGAGAUGCUCCGAUGGCGGCGUCGAGUUGCGAAGCGGCGGCGCUCGGGCGCGAGACGACAGAAGCGGGAGCCGCUACUCCGGGCCCCGAUCUGGGGGGUUCGGUUCCAGGGCGCCGACGGCUUCUUUGUCUAUGAUGCGGGGGCGAGCUGGGGUUCGCCGUCACCACGGCCGACCACCUCCCGUCGCUAGGGCCCAUGACGGCGGCCGGGUCGGGCCAGGGCAGAAUAGUUGGAGGCCAUGAAGGGCACGGCUGCUGCUGGCGGAAGUAGCAGGGUUUGAAGGAGCGGCAGAUGUGGGCAGGGUUGCGGUUGGGGAAGGCUCGCCGGCUGGGGGACGGCCAUAUCAAGAGCUUGAGUGAAGGAGCCACGCUUGACAACUUGGCGUGAGCUACUUUGGUCCAGCGGCUACCAAUGUUCCUUUUUUACUUCAGAAUUAUAAAAUCAUGUUGCCUUUCUAGAAUAAGAUGGAGAAAGUUCCAAACAAUCUUUCAAGAUUUGUCACACUCGAUGGAAACUGGAAGCACCACUCUCCUUGGCUGAAAUCACAGUGGUCAGAUUAUAGAUCACAAGCUGUAGACGAAUUGUUUCUUCUAAUUUCCCAAUCUUCAGAUUGAACUGACCAAUCCGUAUGAUUGAGGAAUCCUUCUGGAGAAAAAGAAUUCAAGGAACUCCGCAGCUCCGAAUACAGAGGUGAGAAAUCGAAUCAAUCGAGCAGCGCUCUGGUGAUCUAUUCAUCUACAUGUUCUGAUAUGCAUGUAUUCCCUGUUUUUCCUCUGCUGGUUCAGCUUUGUUAAACUUAUAGUAGAUAUAAAAUACAUGUAUAUAUAUGCUUAGAACAAGCAAAAUUAGCACUCUCUAUCUUGAGUUGUCAGUUUGAUUUACAUACACAUGUCACUAGACUAUGCAUCAUCAAGCAGAAUGUUUAUGUGUGUUGCCAGUAACAAAUUGUAUCAAAUCUUGUGUUAAAACAAUGCUAUCAAAUUAACUUCCAACCAGGAUUUCAAGAAAAAAAUUGUGUGCUGGAGCAAGAAAGGGAACAUGGUAAGGAGUGUGCCUACAAGAGUUUCUCUGUUCUUAUUGGUUGCCAUAUGCAGCUUGCGGGUCUCGACUUAAUAAAUACAUCAACCGUGUACAGAAGGAAAAACCCAUUACAUGAAUUCUGAGUAGGUAUUUUCAGUCUUUCGCAAUGUAAUUUAUUUAUUUUUCUCUCAUAAUAUUGGAAAAUAUUUGGCAUGAAUGAAAUUGAUUUAAAUCUUGAAAGACUUCGAUUGAGACCCAUGUUUAUGUGUGUUGCCAGCCAACUGUUGAAACUGAAAGUAGAGACACAAUUCACAUAAUAAGUAACAACCUCCGAUUCAAGUUUAACAACCGCAGCUCCAUUCUAGAUUGAUGUUUAAGUUUUGAUGUGUCGCUCUCCAGAUUUCUGUCUGAUUCCCUUUUAUUUACCGCAAUCUGCAUUGUAAUGGCUAUAUAUAGAAUCACUAGAUUCAAGCCGAGUGAGGCAUCUACUUUGUUGUAAUUGGGCUUCCCUAGCAUCCAAUAUCAUGGUCCUAGCAACACUUUUCUCUGGGAGCAAUACAAACCAUGGGAGGCUCAUCUGAACCUUGAGUCGUUUCUCUGAAAUUUAUGAAUUUUGCUUGCUGAAACCUCUGAACAUUUCUGGAGUCUGUCACCUGAUUGAUUCUUCACUUGGCAAAGCAGCAAGAGGGACAUUAGCUGAUGCUAGAAUGAAAAGAAUUUGUACUGUACUUGGACUCGCCCUGAGCGCAUAUGGUCAGAUUUUACGUUAAAGCUGGUGAGGCAUUGGUGUUAGUUGCUAUUACCUGAGACCAGCUGCCAGGGAUACUUUCUUGAACCUUUGUUUUCCUGUCGCUGUAUUGUAGCAUAAAAAUCUAAAAUGGGUCCAUCUUUUCAUUACAGCUUAUGGUUUCCUUUGUUUUUCCCAAUAACUAAUGCAUUUGUUCAUUCUUAACGUUUCUUGCUUCUAUUUGUGCAGCUAUGCCAAUCUUUAUUAUUUUCUCCAUGAUACAGUUGCUUACCUGUAUGUUCUUAUGUUUAGUGGUAUUUAGUCUACCGUAUAUGUGUCAGGAAGAUGCGAGUACCAGGGUGUUACCCAGCUCAAGUUCUAGAGGAACAGGCGGUCUGUUACUGAAGAAAGAUAGUUUGAUAUGUCCGAGCGCCUCCCUUAGCAUGCUCUAGGUUUCAAUGAUGUACCUAUAACAAGACAGUCUUGCUAUCAAACAAAUAUUGCCUAUAUUUAUGACUGAUCAUGUAUAUAAAAAUAUGUUUGAUAUGUGCUCGCAGCCAC
rnacentral:rRNA from 1 species